rfam:Talaromyces stipitatus ATCC 10500 scf_1105507295549 genomic scaffold, whole genome shotgun sequence.
GGCUUGUUGGCCUAGUGGUUAGGGCGUAUCCUUUACACGGAUAAGGUCACGCGUUCGACCCGCGUACGAGUCA